CCUUCACCUCCAAGCUUGGCUUGGGUGUUGGGCUGUUUGUCCCCCCGCUCCGUUCGUCGGGGACAGGCCUGAAAGACAGUGGCGAUGCCGUGGUCUGGAUCCCCGAGCGCAUGGGCUUCUCUCGCUCCAGGGGCCUGAUUGGCAUCCGCCGUUCCCUGCGGCGUUUGACUCC
rnacentral:misc_RNA from 1 species